GCUCAGUGUGGUGGCAAAUACCUGUAGUCCCAGGUACUGGGGAGCCUGAGGCAGGAUGAUCACUUGAGCCCAGGAGUUCUGGGCUGUAGGGUGGGUAUCUGCACUAAAUUCAGCAUCAAUAUUGUGACGUCCUAGGAACAGGGGACCACCAGGUUGCCUAAGGAAGAGGGGACCAACCCGGGUCUGUAACAGAACAAGUCAAAACUCCUGUGUUGGUCAGUAGUGGGAUCAUGCCUGUGAGUAGCUACUGCACUCCAGCCUGGGCAACCUAGGGAGAUCCUGUAUCGA
rfam:Otolemur garnettii contig099614, whole genome shotgun sequence.